rnacentral:tRNA from 1 species
CAGAGAGUAGUUUAAUAAAAAUUUUAAUUUUGGAGAUUAAAGAUGGAUAGAAUUAUCUUUCUCUGA